ensembl:lncRNA
AAAACAUGGAGGGGAGGGAAUUUGCAACACUACAUUUCCUGAUGAGGAAAGGGGGAAGACAGUGUGUCUCAGGCAGGGACUGAUGCUUCCUUCAUGUCUUUCUCAGAAACCAUGAUUCUGACGUGGACUCUUUUGCUUCUGCUGCUAGAUCAGACUGUUUUCUCCCAGGCCUAGGACUUCUAUGGUGGAAUCAGAGCUCCUGGAGGUCCAGUUCACCAUGGGGGUCUAGUUGAUAUGGCCAGGGAGCGUGAAUCUGAUGUGGACCUUCCUCCACCUUCUCUUCCUGGAGCAAACUCUUCACCCCAGGCCUGCUCUCCUCUACAAAACAUACAGACAACACCAGGUCCUGGGUCCCUGGAGGAUACCACCGAUACUGUGAGGUGAUGGUGAAGUGAUGGUGGCUGAUGCACAGGGGUAAAUGCAAGACGAUCAACACCUUCAUUCAUGAGGAUGUGGCCACGUUGGCAUAUUUCUGCAGAAUUCCACUUCUGCCCUCUACCAACAGCUGCUGCGUGCACAACGGUCACAAAGUGCGCACCAUGCCCAAAGACCCCUGAGAUCAAGAGUUGCAUGCUUUAUCCUUGGAGCCAUCCAGGUGCCCCUACACAAUCCAUUUCUGAAGGCAGUUUUUCUACCCACAAGAGGGAGAAUCUGUAGGUGACUUUCUUCUCUACCCUGUGACUCCACCAAAAUCGUGUCAAGGCUUUAAAUCAAAGGAAGGCACCUGACUCUAGGGCACCCAUCCACGGACUGACAGUCUGGGUGCCCAUGAAAGAAACUGGUCUGGAGAUUUUACUGUCCUGGAAUAAGGCUGACAAAACUGGAUACUCUUAUUUUCAUUUCCCCCCAUAAUUCCAGGAGCUGUGAUUGUAUUGUCUUUGUUUGUGACCUUUAGCACGUAGCCUAUUGCUUGCUAUAAGAGAGCUUUCAAUAAAUCUUUAAUGGGCCAUUGUAAUAGGUCCUGCUGGUGCUAAGGAUUUUUUGCAGAUUCUGUUUUCAGAAUGGGAAAGUUCCCUUCCCUUCUGCUCUCCGUUUCCACCUGUAAAUGGAUUGUGAAUUUUGUUGAAUAAUUUUUCUUCAUCUGAUGACACAGUCAUAUACUAUUUCCAUCCUAAUCAGUUAAUGGAGUGGAAUUGAAUAAAAUUUCUGGACAUAAGCAACUCCAUUUUGAAGCUCUAUUUUCCUUGUCAACUAAUGAACUCUUGGACUGGGCCAGAAGCCACAAUGGUUUUACAAGCAGUUCCUCAUAAAAUUUCAAAUGAGCAACUGGCAUUAGGAUCAUGUGAGGACAGGAAAGUUAAUUAAUACAUACCAGUGACCGUUUCAUUUGAUAGCACCAAUAAAGUAAUCAGUAAGAUAGUAAUCAGAAGCGGUUCAAUCAAUUAGCACCAAAUUACCUGUUUUUUUUCUUCCUUCUCUUAUCUAAAGCAUGUAAUUACCCCUUCCUUCUUUCUCAUAAAAAACCCCCAGCUUUCCCCACCUGAGGGGGCACUUUUCUGGUUACCCUUAAAUCUAGUCCCACAUUGUAACUCUGAGACCCCAAAUAAAAGCCUUUGCUCUUCUUCUUUUUCUUUUAAAAUUUAUUUAUUUAUUAUGAGAGAGAAAGAGAAAAAGAGAACGGGGUAGGGGCAAAGAGAGAGGAGAGAGAGAAUCUCAAGCAGGAUCUGCAUUGUCAGGGAAGAGCCUGAUUCCAGGCUCUAUCCCACAAACCACAAAAUCAUGACCUGAGCAGAAAUCAAGAGUCAGAUGUUCAGUGGACUGAGCCACCCAGGUGCCCCACCUUUGUUCUUUUUCACUUCUGCCUUCUUUUCUUGGUUAAUUCUGGGUGAAUUGCAUUAGUUGAUUUUAGACUAUUAAACCAGCUUUGAGAUAAAUCCAUUUUGGUUAUGCUAAACUGUCUUUUUAUAUAUAAAUGAAUUUACUUUGCUAAUAUUUAAG